rnacentral:rRNA from 1 species
AUUGAACGCUGGCGGCAGGCCUAACACAUGCAAGUCGAACGGUAACAGGGAUCAGCUUGCUGAUUCGCUGACGAGUGGCGGACGGGUGAGUAAUGUCUGGGAAACUGCCUGAUGGAGGGGGAUAACUACUGGAAACGGUAGCUAAUACCGAAUAACGUCGCAAGCCCAAAGAGGGGGACCUUCGGGCCUCUUGCCAUCGGAUGUGCCCAGAUGGGAUUAGCUAGUAGGUGGGGUAACGGCUCACCUAGGCGACGAUCCCUAGCUGGUCUGAGAGGAUGACCAGCCACACUGGAACUGAGACACGGUCCAGACUCCUACGGGAGGCAGCAGUGGGGAAUAUUGCACAAUGGGCGCAAGCCUGAUGCAGCCAUGCCGCGUGUAUGAAGAAGGCCUUCGGGUUGUAAAGUACUUUCAGCGGGGAGGAAGGGAGUAAAGUUAAUACCUUUGCUCAUUGACGUUACCCGCAGAAGAAGCACCGGCUAACUCCGUG